GUUUUAAGUACGUAUUAAUAAUGAUAAUAUGUAUAAAAGUCUUGACCAAUUACGUGCCAGCAGUCGCGGUAAUACGUAGGAGACGAGCAUUAUUCAUAUUAAAUAGGUUUAAAGGGUACCCAAACGGUCAAAAUACCUUAAAUAAAGGAGUACUUGACUAGAGUUAUAUGUGAGAAGACCGUACUUGAGGUGGAGAGAUUAUAUUCUGUGAUACCAAAAGGACUGAUAAAGGCGAAGGCUGUCUUUUAUGUAAUAACUGACGUUGGAGGACGAAGGCAUAGAGAACUAACAGGAUUUGACACCCUAGUAGUCUUUGCAGACAAUGAUGAAUGCCAUGAACUAGAAAGGAAAUCCUUUUUAGUUUUAUAAAUGAAAAUGAAAGCAUUUCACCUCAAGAGUAAUGUGGCAACGC
rnacentral:rRNA from 1 species